rnacentral:lncRNA from 1 species
GCACAAAGAGAAGGAUGCUGACUUUGUGACUGACAGAUGCAGUGUGUGAUCGUGCCUGGGCAAUAUGGAAGGCAGUUCAGGCCUCAGUGGACAAAGUCCCUGACACUCAAAAAUGGCUUUGUGGUGCUUGCUUGUUUGUGGCUGUGGAAGUUGCAAGUUUUACCUUUCACUCCAGAAGUCCAGAAGUCCAGAAGGCAGUGGAUCUGAAGCGAAGAGCAACAAAGACAUACACUUUCCCUCUUCAUGCCUAGUCAGAGUUCUGGUGAGGUGAGCUGCAGGUUUCUAUCCAUGGGUCUGUUUUCCCCCAUGACGCUGUUAAGACAGGCCUGUGUUAUGAUACUGCUGCUGAUGUGCAUUGUCUGUGCUAUCUGCAGGAAGGGUUCUAGCAGAUGGGUGAUGUGGUCAUAUCCUUCCAUCUGAUGGCAUGUGUGUUCUGGAGUUCUUCAUCAGGCGCUGCCCUCCUAGCCUGCUGCAGCCACUUUACAAAAAGACUUUUUGACCUUCAGUCUCGGACUUCCCCUUCCUACUGCAAGCCUCAUGCCCUCACAUUGACAUUCUCUUUCAUUUACUUAAGACAAACACCCAAUCCAUCCACUUAUAAGGUUAAGAUUUGUUGUCAUUUGUCACACAGAAUAGGUGAAGAAUGUGUACCAGACCAGUUUCUCUGCUUUUCUGGACUCCAUAGGCCUCUCUGGGACUCAGGACCUUCCCCAGGUGACUGACCUCAGCAAGCAGUAUGAGGAGCUUUAUCUCAAGAGCAGAGACUUUUAACAGCAGGCUAUUCUUGGAUAAUGAUGACACUUCUCACUCCCAAAGUAGAACUGUAAGUAGAACCUCAAACAAUGACAUUCACUUAACUUUUUUAAGUCAUUCCUUUGACAAAGAAAUAGUCUCAAAUCAAAAUUUGUCACGUGCGCCGAAUACAACAAGUGUAGACCUUACUGUGAAAUGCUUACUUACUUUUAUUUAUUUAUUUAUUAUUAUUAUUUUUCACCUUUAUUUAACCAGGUAGGCUAGUUGAGAACAAGUUCUCAUUUGCGACCUGGCCAAGAUAAAGCAUAGCAGUGUGAACAGACAACACAGAGUUACACAUGGAGUAAACAAUUAACAAGUCAAUAACACAGUAGAAAAAAAAAAAGAGUUUU